rnacentral:rRNA from 1 species
CCUACGGGAGGCAGCAGUGAGGAAUAUUGGACAAUGGGCGCAAGCCUGAUCCAGCCAUGCCGCGUGCAGGAUGACGGUCCUAUGGAUUGUAAACUGCUUUUAUACGAGAAGAAACACCCCUACGUGUAGGGACUUGACGGUAUCGUAAGAAUAAGGAUCGGCUAACUCCGUGCCAGCAGCCGCGGUAAUACGGAGGAUCCAAGCGUUAUCCGGAAUCAUUGGGUUUAAAGGGUCCGUAGGCGGUUUAGUAAGUCAGUGGUGAAAUCUCCCCGCUCAACGGGGAAACGGCCAUUGAUACUGCUAGACUUGAAUUAUUAGGAAGUAACUAGAAUAUGUAGUGUAGCGGUGAAAUGCUUAGAGAUUACAUGGAAUACCAAUUGCGAAGGCAGGUUACUACUAAUGGAUUGACGCUGAUGGACGAAAGCGUGGGUAGCGAACAGGAUUAGAUACCCUGGUAGUCCACGCCGUAAACGAUGGAUACUAGCUGUUGGGUGCAAACUCAGNGNGUAGAGAAGUAGAUAGUAUCCNCCGCGGGUAGGUACGUUCGCGAGAANAGAACGUAAAGUAAGUUAGUACGGCGUGAGACGUCGCCGACGGACGACGACGAGGGAGGUUAGG